rnacentral:rRNA from 1 species
AUUGAACGCUGGCGGCAGGCCUAACACAUGCAAGUCGAGCGAGCGGCGGGCGGGUGAGUAAUGUAUGGGGCUCUGCCCGAUAGAGGGGGAUAACUACUGGGAACGGGUGCAAAUACCGAAUUCUAUCGGCUGUAGCCUCAUGGGAUUAGCUAUUAGGUGGGGUAUAGGCUCACCUAGGCGACGACCUCUAGCUGGUCUGAGAGGAUGAUCAGCCACACUGGGACUGAGACACGGCCCAGACUCCUACGGGAGGAAGCAGUGGGGAAUAUUGGAAAAUGGGCGCAAGCCUGAUGCAGCCAUGCCGCGUGUAUGAAGAAGGCCUUAGGGUUGUAAAGUACUUUCAGCGGGGAGGCGUUACCCGCAGAAGAAGCACCGGCUAACUCCGUGCCAGCAGCCGCGGUAAUAC